ACAGUGCAAAGGAAGGAGACGGCAUUUGGUAGAACCUGUGCAGGCUUUCCUCCAACAUUCGGUCUUUCUUUGUAGAGCAAAAAAGUACCAUAAUGCUCCAAACCCCUAAACAACCAUCAAGUAGAUCAUCAGGAAUUAUAAAUUACCCAAAAAAGAGUAAAGAGAAAUAGAAUAUAUUGGAGACUUGGGAGGCAAGUAAACUUACAUUAGCAGCAUGUAGGUAAAAGAGAUUGAACGUAAGUCUGGCCCAUUUAGUAUGCUUAUAUGAAUUCUUCCUUUUUUUAAUCAAUGCAUACAAUCGCUUAACCUUUAGCAAAUGUUGGACGAUAAACAGGUUCAUCACAUGGAAAAAUUGCUGGACAUUCAUUAGUCGAUUAUAAACUAGAAGCACCAACACCUGAACAGUUUGUACACCAUAAAGAUAGAAUUAUCAAUUAUGAAAUAUGAUUCCAUAUGAAAAGGAAAAAAAAAAAUACAACCUAUGCGUGCUUGCUAGGAAUCCAACAUAAAUUGGUUUGGGCGCCCAUAGGUGUGCGCGCGUGCCCUUGCUUGGCUAAUUGGAACAAAUAAGUAAAAAGUACGACAGAACAAACAUUUACCUGUGGGAGUGGAAGAAUGAUGGCGAGAUCAGAGAUCAAAUAGGAAGACGGGCAACCGAGAUAUGCUACAAUUUCGACGCCAAUUCUCCCAUAUUGGUAAAGCUCUAAUUAUCAAAAAAGGUGUAUCAUAUACCGUGCGUUCAAGAAUACCAAACGUCAUAACAUCUUUGUCAAAUUGGAAGCACUUUUUGUCAUCGUUGGUCACAGGAAGGUACAAGAAAACAGGAUCAAAUACCAUGGAAUACACAUAAAUCAGCCAAAAAUUAGCUUCCAGGAAACGUCUCGACAGAUUACGAAUCUGCCGAAGAGAUGUUUUUACUCCAUUACCCAAGCUUUCGAUCACAGUGAGGAAAGCAGAUACUGUUGCUUCUCUCUCGCUCCUACUGAUGCUGUCCAUUUCAACACCAGCAACCAGUCUCGGCGUUCCUUCCUCUAAAUUCGAGUGCUGAGACCUGAAAAAAAUAAAAUCAACUUCAUCGUCAUCACCAUAUACAAUAAUUGUAAUAACAUAUAGCCUGUACUUCAGCUCAGUAAGGCUCUAUACGUAUAUCGUCAAAUUAAUAAACAACUCGCUUAAGGCUUACAUAAUCAACCAAGGGGAAGGAAAAUUUAAAUAAAUGAAGCGAAGCUUAAUUUCAGUUUCCUUCAAUUAAAUACAGGUGAAUCCUUCACAAAUCAUCACUUCAGUGGCUGAGUCUUCGGAGUUCAGAGCAUGCUUAUCCUAUGCGCUAAUAAAUAUCUACGCACUGUGGUUCCUCAAGACAUUGACUUCUUACACAAUCAAUCAAACAACCAAAACAAAAAACAAAUUCCCAAUAAAUAUGUAAUUUGUGUAGCACCUUUUGACUGAGUUGGGGGCGCAGGCAACUAAUAGUUACGACUUGAGGUUAGAACUUAUCCAUUUGCACAUUCUCAAUCUACGGUUCAUUAACCAAAAUUUUGGCCCCGAGAGGCUGCAAGUCUUAUCAUGUCCCUCGUGUUUUUUGCUCACUAGUAGAAUUGAAUCUUUGUGCGUGUUAAGUAAAUACAAGCACCAGGUCGGUCAUGCUAUUAUUUCCACCCCGGCGUGGAUCACCUCAGCCUAUGGUACGAGCCGAACACAGGGACAAGCAUAAACCGACCAGAGGGGAACCCCUGACAAGCAUAAACCGACCAGAGGGGAACCCCUGCUAGGGGAAUGUACCGACCAGAGGUAUACACCGAGCCGAUACCUGUCCCCCAGAAAGCGGGAACACGAUCCCACAGAACCGCGGCCGUUACGCUGUUCCCAGAACACAGAAUCGCGGCCGUUACGCUGUUCCCAGAACACAGAAUCACGGCCGUUACGCUUUUCCCAGAACACAGAAUCGCGGCCGUUAUGCUUUUCACAGAACACAGAAUUGCGACCGUUACGCUUUUCCCAGAACCGUUGAAGGACACGUAAGUCCCCACGUUUGCGACAAUGCAACGGUUAGAGUCCCGUGAGGGGCUGCCACUACCCGAAAAAGGGGGGGAUGAAGGGCAAACGGAAAGGUGGGGACAGCGGCUAUAAAAGAAAAGGAACUCAACGGAGAAAAGGACAGAAAAAACGGAGAGAGGGAAAACGCUGCCAAAUUGCAACCAGACCAUUUUCCUACGAAUUUCAGAUAAACUUCUUGAACCCAAAUCACAUUGUUUUCCCGUAAACACCUUGAGCUAACUUAGGCAUCGGAGGGUUUACGCCGGCAAAACCACCGGCGUCUCUGAUCCGUUUUUAGUGAGCGCAGGUCUAUUGAGAGGAAGGGGGACGAUUCCAGUUCCAGUGAACGAGCAACAACAGAUAACACAAACGUUGGUGAAAGAAUCUGGUCGGUCAAAGGGCGAGCAGAUUUCAGCAUCAACACUUAUUGCUCAAGAUAAAUGUAAGCCUUACAAAUAUGAACUUGUUGAGAAUCCAAAUCCAAACUUGUGAACAAUGUCACGAUGCCCAUUACAAAUUUGAGCAAUAGUAGGAACAGUCCGGGCCUGCGUCCCAGGUCGCUUUAGAAAAUUUUUGAAGACCUCUGACCUUACUUCCUUUGAAUUUAUAAAAAUAUCCCAUUUGAGUGUUAAAAUUUUGAAAAUUUCAGUGCUUAUCUCUGGGAUACGAAUCCCCCAGCCCCAAUAAAAAAAAAAAAAUCCCAGGUCGCUUUAAAAAAAUUAAAUUUGUUAGUUUGGUUGGUGAGAGUAGUCGAAAAUAUUUAAUGAACUGCGAAUACUUGCGAAUGGAACUUCUUUCACAAUUUUUGAAUUUUGAACUGACUGCACCGCACGCAAGUUUCAAAAUUUUGGUAGAGACGCGAGUGAGGAGCGUGAUCCAAUCCAAUGAUGACAUGUCAUCAAUCAUAUGUUGGCGCGUGGUCAACCCUCUUCGCCUGAGCUGAUGCCAUGUUGGCAUGAAGAGGGCAAAGAGUUAAAGAAAUUUCCAAGUAAAGCAAUGCUAUUGGCUCUUGGCUAUUGGCCACAGUCUAGUUAAUCAGGAAAUUAGUCAAGCCUCAUAAAUGCAGUCAAUGGCAAGGUAAAAAAUAUCCGAAAUGAGUUGAAAUUGAUGGGUCGGUGAGUUUUUUUGACCGGUAGCUGUUUCUGCUUCGAUCAUUUAUUUAUUAUUGGACCUCUGUUUGUGCUCUCUCUAGUUUUGUAGGUUAUUUAUGCUUUUGGAUAUGUGAUGAGGUCAUCUGUCGGUUUAAAUUCAUGAACUUAGGAUGCAAUUCAAAUACAAAUUAAAAUUUAAGUAUCGAAAUUCUUAAUAUUAUUGAUAUCUUACUGUUGUUAUUAUUAUUUUUAUUAUAUUUAUGAAUUUUUCUGAGUUAUUCUGAUUGUAGUUUAUAACAAGAUUUUUUUCAAUAAGUAUGUGAAUAAAUUUUAUUUAUCCAUAAAUUACAUUAACUAUAAUUUUAAAAAAUCUUAUUAUUAUUACGACAAUCUCUAUUUUACAUAUAUGUAAAAUACAUAUUCUUCAUAUAAAUAAUACAUAUAUGGGAUCCACGUAUUAUUAUGAUAAUAAUAAUAGAACCUACAAAAAAAAAAAUUAAAUUACCAAUUUAACCCUAAAAAAUAAAAAAAUUAUAUUAAUUUUUAAUUUGUAAUUUUAUUUUUAGGGUAAAUUGGUAAUUUAAUUAUUUUCUUUUUAUUAAUGUCCAAAUAAAAAAAUAUUAUAAAAGGGUAACAUUAUAAAAGUAAGCUAAAAGAAAUAAAAAGUAACGGUAGGAGUAUCAAUACUUUAACGACAUGGACGUUUUGAGACAUUUUUUAAAAUAUAGGGACUAAAUGGAUACUAAUCUUAAAAUAUAAGGACUAAAUAAGCUUUUACCCUUUAUUUAUUCAUUUCAUGUACUGAAUAAAAUGGGUGGCUAACUUAUGGAUGGAUUAGUGUUCAUGUGGAUGUUGAUUUUUGUUUUGGCAUGCAUGAGUUAUCCUUUAAUAAUUUGAUGGUGCACAUGCUCGUCCAGUCUUAUAUUUAAAUUGUCAAAUGGUUCUGUUUCGGCAAUAUAAACUUGGCACUUACGUUUCGGAAAUUUUUGAAGAGUUUAUAAAAUUCUGUUGUUUGUUUAGGAAAAUAACUGUUUGAUGUUUUGGCAAUAUAACCAAGGUAAUGUUGCACUGAUAAUCAUUUUUUUUAAAGUUUGACAGCUUCAGAAACGAUAUUAAUCUCAAUUGUUUUUAUCAUUAAGUUCAAACUUUGAAUUUUCUACUUAAUGAUGUUUUGAGAAGUGGGAAAUUUGUUGUUUAUGCUUUAGAUUGCAUAAGUCCAGACACAAGAUUUGGUUAUGGAAUUGAAUGUAUCCUGUGAAAUCUUUUUACGAUUGAGGGUUCUUUUCUUGGUUACAGUGGUGUCAUUGGGUUUCUGAUAUGCUCAACAGAGGGACCUCAUGUUGAUUUUGCGAACCCCAUUAAUCCUAUUGAGAAGUUGGAUGGAGCUGACAAGCAUAAAAGAGAAUUAAGGUUCUAUAACUCAGAGGUAAAGGCUCCUCAUUUCAAGUCUAGCUUUCCUUGGUCGUUACUUCUUGAUUCUUUUUCUUAGAUAACCUAAAUGCUUGUGUGGUUGAAUUGUCAUUGAGUUAAUAUUUUGGUAGUGUUACUGUGUUAGAUGAGAAAGUAUGAUGGCCUGCAUUUAAUAUUUGUGUUGUGUUGACAGAUUCAAUUAUAUAGUUGCCUCCGCGUCGCUUGCAUUUUUGAAGAGGGAGGUGAGCGUACUUAGUGAUUCUCCAACUCCAAGCCAACGAAUCUGCGCGUCCUAAUGAUUCAUAGCAAUCAUCCCAUUUAUUUAUGAUUAGCGAGAUUUAGUGCUUCCCAUGUUAUAGUUUAUAGGAUGAUUAUGAUAUAUGUAGACGAGGGGUUACGCCUUGAGCUUGACCUUGGAGACUUUGUGGAUGAUCUGAUUCUAGCAAUGUAUCAUGGUUCUCAUUUGACAAUUAAUACUUAUUUUAUUAUAUUAAUAGCUUACUUUUAAACCUUCAUGAAAAUUAUAUGAUUAUGGUUCAAUUUAGAUUUUCUUUUAUUAUAAAAGUUUUGCCAGUGGCCCUCUUAGCCAUGGAUUGAUUAACAAAAUUUUCAACAAGGGCGUGAACUCGCUCAUCCUCAAAAACCAUUAUUGGAUGGAAUAAAUAUUAAAAUCAGGGACACGCUAAUUUAAUACAGCAGUGAUAUUCUUACAACAUUUAACACCACACACACUCACCACCAAACGGUGCGUUUUGAGCUAAAUAUUAAUUGUCCACACAUAUUACACACAACACGCGCUGCUCCCACCGCACAUGCUGCUCACAGAACACAGCUCAGAAAUUGACGUGUAGCCCGAAUCACCCAUAAGCUGAUUCUCCCUCUCUCACCCCUUCGUCGAUUGCAUCUCCCACAUCACUAAAAUAUAUCCCAGAUAUAUUUUGGUUGCAAUUUUGGUUUUGGUAACAAUCAGCAAAAGAUCAAGAUGUUCGCAUGCAACAUAUCAUGUGCCAGGUUAAGUGUUAAUCUUAAACGAUUGUUCAAGGGCUGAAUCCACGAAAUGUAGAAAAUCUUUAUAUUAACUGAUUCACUGGUACAAGAGCACUCUUCUUUUACUUCACUCAAAAUCAAUCUAAAUGCAAUUACUAAUCAAUUUAAACUCACUUGACAAUACAAAUCGAUUACAAAUGCAAAACUUGACCACGGAUGCAAUCACCACAAGCAAUACAAUUCCAGCUGAAUCUUCACAAAUUCAAGCCAUAAAUUUUUCAAAUUUUCGAGGUAAGAUUUGUGGAGAGACCCACGCCAGCUGUGAAGAGACCCACGGAAAGAGAGAGAAAGCCGACGGUGAGUGUUGUAUGGGUUUUGCUCGUUUGCUAUGCGAGCUGUGUGUGCGAGAGAGAGAGAGAGAGAGCCAACGGCCAGAUGUGGGGACACCCACGGCGAGAGAGAGGGAGAAAGUUGACGGAGAGCGCACAGAGCAGGGGAGGAGGAAAAUGAAACGGUUGCGUUUUGGUGUGGGUUUUGCUUGCUCGUUUGCUGUGCGAGUCUUGCGCGUGUGUAUUGAGGGGUAAUUUUUAAAAACCUCCCCUGAAGUUUGGGUUUAUUGCAAGUAGAUGGCGAGAAUCAGUUUAUUUAUAAAAAAUCCCCUACCGUCAGUUAAUUUUAACAUUGACCGUUAGUUGACUGUGCAAAGACAAUAUUACCCUUAACAAUAGUUUGUAGACUGACAUAAUUAAAAAAAAAACUAAAAUUGUUGGCGCAAAAAGCACAAACCUUAUUUUUUGACAAUUUUAUCCUUGUCAAUUCCAAAAAUUUACAAUAUCAUAGGUAAAGAUUAUAACUAUUUCAUUUUCAAGUUUUUAAUUUUAUCUUUCUUGUAGGAACUUUAAGGAAAUAUUAAUAAUUUAAAGAGGAUUUUUCAAGUUGUUAAUUUUAUCUUUUUUGUAGGAACUUUAAGAAAAUAUCAAUAAUUUAAAGAGGAUAAAAUAGCCAACAAUUUUGAUUUUUUUUUUUUAGUUAUUUUUGUCUACAAACUAUUGUUAAGAGUAAUAUUGUCUUUGCACAAUCAACUAACGGUCAAUAUUAAAAUUAACUGAUGGUAGGGAAUUUUUUACAAAUAAAUCAAUUCUCGCUAUCUACUUGCAACAAGCCCAAACCUCAGGAGAGGUUUUUAAAAAUUACCCGUGUAUUGAGCUGCCACAGAAACCUUUUUAUAGUUAGCAUAAAACGCACCAUUUUGUGCUAACUUUUGUACUAAAUGUUGUAAGAGUCUCAUUUUCCAAUUUAAUAUCAUCCGUUGUGUCUCUACUAGUUAUAAUUUCUAUUAUCUUUGUCAUCCAUAUUGCCUAAGAAUUUUCUCGUCUUUACUUAAUGCUGACAGAGCAAGCCAAGAUAAUAGUUUGGAAGUUCUCCUGAGAGUCAGCUCUGUGUGUGUGUACAUAAAUUUGAGCUUUUUAGAGAGCUUUGAGCUUUCAUACUGUUAUUAGAGCAAGGUAAUUCCAUUACGGACUGACGUUUAGCAGUUAAAUGCUUACUCCCUUGGUGUACAUAUAAUUUCUGCAUGAUAAAUUUUUCUGCAAAAGGGACGGUCCAUACUGCCAUCCGAACCAGAAAUUAGCGCAUAGAAAAUAUAUAUGUUCAACACUACAAAGGAGUUUUGCUAACUUCAUACAUAUAUAUACAUCAACUGUAUCAGGCAUCGGUUUCUAAUAUCUCAAACUCAAAUACACUCGUCCAAAUUUAUUCUUGAGAUAGGUCCUUAAUUAAGAUCAUGAACAAGGCCUAAAAUACUAACGUUGCUGCACCAGAUCUGAAUGCCCCAAAUAUUAUUGUAGAUGGCGACGGUGGCGUUCCUUGUGCGGACGCAUGUGCACUCCAUCUAGUUUGUCAAAAUACAUGUAUACAUCCAGUGCAAUGUUUUGCUUAAUGAUCAAUAUUCAAUAGUACCUGCUUUAAAUCAUCCGCCAUAAGAACAAAUGCUUCAACAUUUGUAAGAGCUUGAAUUGUUUUAGUUGAUAUAGGAAGGUUGGAUGAGUCGCGGUCAGCCUUCGCCCAAGCAAUGAGUUCUUCUCCAGAAAAGUCACCAUCUUCCAGAUGGUUGUUCAGGUUACCAGAAUUGCUUGAGAAUCCAGUUAUGCUCCUGGAAGUGUAGGUCCUUGACUUGCCUUGCAGCACGAAGAGCAUUUGAUCAAUUGGGUUUCCCUCCCGGAGAAUGUAAGAGCGCUCUGUGAAGACAACCGGCUUCACAACAUCACACAAUCUCUCCAACGAUGAAUCACUCCAGUUUCCAAACUCUUCUACCUAUACAAACAUACAUCCAAUAUCGUUACUAUAAUCUAAAAGGCAUGAUGCUGAUAAUGAAAUUCAGCUUCUGAAUGAAGAAAAUUGAAAAUAAAACUUCAUCUAGAACUAUCUCAGCUGAAAUGAGAUUCAUUCCCUAACACUAAAACAUAUCAGGUUUGAGUUCACGUUGAGGUGAUGUGGACUUUAGCGAUUGCGCUUUCAAAACUAUGCAAAAUAUUUUUAUUAGUUCUCCUUUGUCAAUUUCACAAAUUAACGAAUAGCAGACACAAAUAUAGUUGUAAAGAUUUCUCACUCACUUUUUUUAGCAAGUCUAAGCAGAGCUUCUGUUUUAUGUUAUUUCUGAGGUGCCUUGGAAGAUGAUUCACCACAUACUCUACGUCAACACCCGUGGUUUGCAAUUUCGAUUUCUGAUAUUCCUUGAUCUCCUUUUGGAGUUUCUUAGGGAGCUUUCCAAAGGGCAGCCACCGGUCUAUUUCUCGUACCUUCUGUCUUAUCUCAUAUACUUUUGACGUUUCAGACUGCACAUUGCCCAAGAAUCAUGGUUCAUAGAAAAGUAAAAUUUAUUGCGCUUCCUCUUAAUCAAGCAUAAAAACCAAUUUUGAGAGACAAGAUGCAGAUGAUUAAAAGAAAAAAAUGAAAAAAAUAAGGUACACCAACCUGAACCUUUCCAAUCAAAAGGAAAAACAACACUACCCCAGUGAUGGUAAUUGAAAUUACAAAGAUGUUUUCCAAGACAUUGGUACUUAACGGGAGACCUUGACCAAAACAACUGCAAAAGUCAAACCCACAAAUGUGUUAGAACCAAUGUUUUGAGCUUAAUUGAUAAAAAACACAAACAUACGUAUGCUUUAAUAUAUGCACAAAAAACAAAGAAAGGCGUACACAAAAAGAUUGUUAAGAGAAGAAUGAUGUAUAUUCACAACUUAACCUGAGAGUUUGCAGGCUCCAUUGAAAACAAGGAAAGUACCUCCGAAAAAAAUUGUUUUGAUCCAAAACACCAGAUUGAAUAGCAUCACGGAAUAUCCCAAAAUCAUAGAUAGUUGCAUUUUGAGUCUUUGUAGAGCAAAAAUCACUAGAAAAUGUGUAGUUUGUUAAACUGUCAUCACAGUGUAAAGGAAGGAGGCCACAUCUGGUAAAAUCUGUGCAGGCUUUCUUCCAACAUUCAGCCUUUCUUUGUACGGCGAAAAAGUACCAUAAUGAUCCAAACACCUAAAGAACCAUCAAGUAGAUCCCGGGAACUAUAAAUUACCCAAAAAAACAGUAAAGAGAAAUAGAACAUUUUGGAGAGUUGAGAGGCAAGUAAACUUACAUUAGCAGCAUGUAGGUAACCGAAAUUGAACGUCAGAUUGGCCCAUUUAUUAAGGUUAUAUGAAUUCUUCCAUUCUGUAAUCAAUUUAGCCAAUCGGAUAACCUUUAACCCAUGUUGUACAAGAAACAGGUUCAUCAGAGAGAAAAAUUCCUGGCCACUAAUUCUUUGACUAUAAGCUAGAAGCACCAACACCUGAAUAGUUUGUAGGAACUCCAAAAACAGUUAUUUCUCUUACUUCACCCUGCGGAAUACACAGAAAUGGAACUCCACAGACAUUUAUUUCUCUUACUCCUCUCAUGAUCCUACUGGUCCUGUUCAUUUCAACGCCAGAAACCAGUCUCGACGUUCCUUCCUCUAAAUUCAUUCAAGUCUUGAGACCUUGGAAAAACAAAAAAAUCAUCUUCAUCAUGGUCACAUAUACAAUAAUUGUAAUAAUAUAUAGCCUGAUCAUAAGUUCAGUAGGACUCUAUAAGUAUAUCAUCAAAUUAAUAAACAAGUCACUUACGAAGGAAAAUUAAAGUAAAUGAAGCAAAGCUUAAAUUCAGUUUCCUUCAAUUAAAUACAGGUGGAUCCUUCACGAAUCAGCACUUCAGUGGCUCAGUCUUCGGUGGAUGCUUAUGUUAUGUGUUAAUAAAUAUCAGAGGCACGACCCAAAGACUUCGAUUUUUCAAGUCAACCAGGAACACAUAAUUAUUGUUUGGGGUCCGCUUAUAAUAUUUUCAGGCUAGCUCUGUAGCUCAAGCAUGAAAAACGGGGAAAGUAAAGUGCAAGAAAAUUCCAGAUUCUUUUUUCAAUUGUUCUUUAUACUGUGUAGCUAAUGUACAAAAGUGAAAAUGAAUCUUUGCUUGCAUUUUUUUAAAUUAGCGGCAUAAAAAGAAUGGAGUGAAAAGUACAGAGACCUUGAAUGAUCAUUGAAAGCCAUUAAAGAAUGUAGACAAAAGUUAAUUGCAUUAGAAAGUACUAAUAAUGAAUUAUUUAGACAAAAUAUAGUAUUGCAAAAUCAAUGUCAGAUUUUAUUACUUAUCAGUUAUCACCAGAAAACUCAAAACACUUCAACAAAAGCUAGCACUAGAAGAAAUAUUUAACCAUUCCCCAGUAGGACAAUUAAUAAAAAUUCAAAAAAUUUCUUCCCUCAUUGGUGAUAGUAUAGACAUUGUAAAAAAAAUUUUAUUUCAGUAGCCAAUCAAAUAUUCUAUAGCAUAUUAAAUUUCUUAGAAUUGUUAAAUUACAAUAAGAAAUUUAUGCCAAAAUCUUAGUACAUUAAUAAGACCAUUAUAUAAUAAAUUAAGUAAAAAUGGACAAAAGUAUUUUAAAUUUUAUAGUGAAGAUAUUAAAUUAAUACAAAAACUUAAAGAAAUAGGAAUUUUUUUAAUCUACAUCAUCAUAUGUUAAUUCCUCAUUAUUACAUAAUUCUUCAAAUAAUUCUUCAUCUAAACAUUUUUAGGAUUAUUAAAUAUUAAUUCUAUAAUCUUAUCUCUAAUAUUAUGUAGAGUUUUCUCUUUAUCUGUAUUUAAAUUUUUUACUAUAGCAUAAAAAGAAUGGAGUGAAAAGUACAGAGACCUUGAAUGAUCAUUGAAAGCCAUUAAAGAAUGUAGACAAAAGUUAAUUGCAUUAGAAAGUACUAAUAAUGAAUUAUUUAGACAAAAUAUAGUAUUGCAAAAUCAAUGUCAGAUUUUAUUACUUAUCAGUUAUCACCAGAAAACUCAAAACACUUCAACAAAAGCUAGCACUAGAAGAAAUAUUUAACCAUUCCCCAGUAGGACAAUUAAUAAAAAUUCAAAAAAUUUCUUCCCUUAUUGGUGAUAGUAUAGACAUUGUAAAAAAAAAAAUUAUAAAAAUUUUUAGCAAGAUUUUAUUUCAGUAGCCAAUCAAAUAUUCUAUAGCAUAUUAAAUUUCUUAGAAUUGUUAAAUUACAAUAAGAAAUUUAUGCCAAAAUCUUAGUACAUUAAUAAGACCAUUAUAUAAUAAAUUAAGUAAAAAUGGACAAAAGUAUUUUAAAUUUUAUAGUGAAUAUAUUAAAUUAAUACAAAAACUUAAAGAAAUAGGAUUUUUUUUUUCUCUACAUCAUCAUAUGUUAAUUCCUCAUUAUUACAUAAUUCUUCAAAUAAUUCUUCAUCUAAACAUUUUUAGGAUUAUUAAAUAUUAAUUCUAUAAUCUUAUCUCUAAUAUUAUGUAGAGUUUUCUCUUUAUCUGUAUUUAAAUUUUUUACUAUAGCCAUAUUUAUUUCUAUUUCUUCUUCAUUUUCUUCUAAUUAUGGAUUACCUAUUUUUCUAUAAUUAUUAAACCUCUGUGUAACUUAAUUAUGUAAUUCUUAGUGCUUUCUAUCUUGCUAUCUAUUGCAUUUUCUUCCUCCGAUAGUGAGUCAAAAAAUGCAAUAUCUACUUCUUUUUCUAUUGCUAGUGAUUUCUUUUCGUAAGGCAAAAUAUGCAUCUCAAAUUUAGGUUGUACAAAUGUUGAUUUUUUAAAGAAAUUUAUCCCAUUAGUAGUUGUUAAUAUACUACUAUUAUCUUCUAAUAUAAAAUUUAAUCCUAAAAUAAACUUAUAUCCUACUUUUUUACAACAGAUAAAUGUUUGAGGAACUCUAUUAACGGUUUCUCUAAACUCAUUCAUUUACUGUUAAUUUUAUUAAAUUUAAUUGUAUUUGUAAAUCUCUUUGUGUAUUUUUAAUAUUUUUUAUUUCAACUUUUAAAACUUCUACAAGACUUUUGAUUUAUAAUUCUACUAGUUUAGGUGCUUUUAUGUCUAAUAAUUUUAUUAAUUCUAUUAUUUCUUUUUUAUUACGGAACCUUGUAAUUUGACUAUUAAAAUCAGCUAAUGACUCUUUAAUAUAGUCUAAAUUCUUUCUUCGUGUAUUUUAUGUUACUUGCUUCAAAAAAUUGUCCUAACCGUAAUACUAGUUCUUUAAGCUUUUCUAGUUUAACUUCUAAGUGCUGUCCAAGAUUAAUUAUUAAGUCUAUUGUUGACCAUUACUCGUAUAUGGAAUAUGUUUAUAUUGAUUUUCUAAAUGCUCUAUAUUAUGAUUAAGUUUAAUUUUAUUUUCCUAUGACUACUAAUUUGUAAAUCCAAAUAUGCUAGUUUUUGAAAAUUCAUAAACUAAUUCUUUAACUAUUCUAGUUUAUUUCUAAUUUUAAAAAUUACAUUUUCAUAAUGAUCUAAUAAAUUUAGUUGUCUAUUGUAACUAUAUUUUACUAUAGAUAAGUGUGUAAGAGUGUAAUAUCUAACACUGACUUUUUUUUUUUUUAAUCAUUAUAGGGUCUAAUGGAUUUUUUUUUUAAUCAUUAUAGGGUCUAAUGGAGAUGUGUAAUCUACUAGAAGUUUAUUAUUUUCUAAUCUUUUUUCUAUUAAAUUAUUUAAUAUAGAGUGUUCUGCACUAAUUUCUACUUUUUUCUAGCUCUACAAUUUUUAAAGCAAUUUCUAAUUUUUCGGUAAAAGGAUUAAUCACAAAUACCCACAGCCAAAUUUGCUUUUGAAAGACUUGGAUUUUGCAGUCUUAUGUGUGACAUUUGUGCUGUGUUAUCUAUGGCCGCAUCCAAUCAUAUCUUACUAAAUUUUUGUACCGCGCUACCUAAAAUUUUCCCACUACCGGUAAUUUGAUAAGAGUCUUUGUCUUCUUCAGUCAGGCACGAAAAAAAAAAUGUUGGUUCAGAUCUAACUAUUCAAUCAAGAGCUAGCUCAGGACAAAAAGAAGUGUGCAAUUAGGGGACGAUACCGUAGACAGACAAUAGACAAAUUUUUCUUUGAAUGGUUUACUUUUGACUAAAUGAUCGGUGAUCCAACACCACUGAUCGUUUUUCAAAGGGACCCAUGUUAUGGAUGAAAAUUGAUAAAACUUGAACCCUAUUUUUUUUUCCCCCUCUCCGUUGUGUGAAUCAACCUUGGUUAAUUAAACUCACCGAAAUUGGAGGGGGAAAAAAUCUUGAAAAUACAUAAUAAUCUGCUCCAUUUCUACUUAAAAACUUUCUCUUUUAUGCAUCAUACUGGCCUUAAAUUCUUGCAGCAGAAAGCAAAACGCAGGGACCAUAAAGCCAUCAAUAGUUCUCUAAAUUUCCAAAUAUAUGCAACAACAAUAGUCAGUACACAAACUACUUUCAGGAGAUUUAUUUAACAACUUAGAAACGAGAUGUAAUUUGUAUUUAAAAUAUAAAUCAAUGACUAUAAGCUUAUUAUAACAAGCAUAGGAUGUGACCAGCCUAUUUUUCUUUAGCAAUAAAAUGAGGUUCCACAAGCUGCCUGGACAUAGGGUGUGUUUGGGAGAGCAGCUGCCUAUAUUCUAGGAGGAUAUGCCAGUGCGGCUGCCUCAAACGUAGGGAUGACAAAUAUUCAAUUAUGGAUGGAUAAUAUCCAUCCAAACACAAAUCCAUAAUUAUCCAUAAUGGAUAUAUCCAAAUCCAUACACAAUAUUUAAUAUUGGACAUGUAUAUGGAUUUUAUCCAUAUAACUAUGGAGAUCCAUGGAUAUCCAUGGAUAUUUUAUUUUUAUUAUAUAAAAAUAAUAAUCUAAAAUAGUUAAAAUUUCAAUAUUAAAUUUGGUUAUUAAACUAUUUAUAUUACUAAUAAUAUAUAUAUAUAUAUAAUAAAAUGGAGGUCCGGCGACGGUUCGGCGAUGUCCGACGGUGGUCCGGCAACUUUCCGGCGAAUUCAGGCGGAGCUCCGGCAACUUUCCGGCGAAUUCCUGCGGAGGUCUAGCGAAAUUCCGGCGAGGUCCGGUGGUGGUCCAAUGACUUUCCGGUGGAUGUCCAUUUAUAAUAUUAAAUUAAUAAAAUAAAAUAAUAAUUAUUAAUAGUCUGCUGUAUUUUUAUAAUUGUUUGUUUAUUAUAUUUUUUAUUUUUUAUUUUAUAAAAUUAAAAUUUUUUAAACUUGUUUUGAGUUAAACGGAUAUCCAUUGGGUAAAUAUAAUUAUCUAUAUCCAUCCAUAUUCAUCUGGAUAUAAUUUUAAAAUAUCCAUUUCAAAAUCCAAAAUUUUUUGGAUGGAUAUUAUCCGAUCCAAUUGGAUGGAUAUUGUGGAUAUCCAUUAUGAAGCGAUCCAGUUGCCAUCCCUACUCAAAUGCACACAUAAUUGUGGGGCGCUCUGUCUAGACGUUUCUGUAUUCCUUGUAGAAUGAGAGAAAGUUCCUUUCACAGCGGCCAUGAGCAAUUUUAUGAAUGAAGUUGCCUGGAUGAAUAGAGCUGCCCUACUAGGCUUAAUGAGUGACAUUUUUCAAGUCAUCAGCCAUAGACAAAAGGCUUCAACUUUAUGCUUGAAAAGCUCUGGUUGAGAUGGCACGCUGAAGUAUUGUUGGCUUGCUCUUACUAUCUGUCCAUGGCUACCAGAAAAUGAGAAAAUUCUUUUUACAAUGUCCUGGAAUAAUUUUAAAAAUCGAGCUGCUUUAAUGAAUGGAGCUACUCGUUUCUGCUCAAAGAGUAAUAAAUCAUCGGCUGUGAGAACAAAGGCUAUAAUAAAUCAUCAACUUUUGUAAGCGCUUGAAUGGUUCCUGUUGAGGUAGGGAGGUCAGAUGAAAAAUGGUCAAUUCUCCAACUCCAAGUCAACGAAUAUGCGUCUCCUAAUGAUUCAUAGCAAUCGUCACAUGAUUUCUUGACGAGCGAGAUAUACUGCUUCCCAUGUUAUAGUUUAUAGGGUGAUUAUGAUAUAUGUAGACCAGGGGUUACGCCUUGACCUUGACCUUGGAUACUUUGUUGAUGAUUUAAUUCUAGCAAUGUCUGAUGGGUCUCAUUUGACAAUUAAUAACAAUCCUGCUACCAGAUACCUGCUCAUCAUGGCUGGUCUUGUGGAGGUAUUACCCCCAAACAGGCUCCAUCGAAUACAAAGCAAGAACCUCAGAGAUAAACUGUUUUGCUCCAUAACACCAGAAUUAAUAGCAUCAAAGAAUAUCCCAAAAUCAUAGAUAGUUGCAUUUUGAGUCUUUGUAGAGCAAAAAUCAUUAGAAAAUGUGUAGCCUGGCCCAUUUAGUUUGUUUAUAUGAAUUCUUCCUUUCUUUAAUCAAUGCAUACAAUCGCUUAACCUUUAGCAAAUGUUGGACAAUAAACAGUUUCAUCACAGAGAAAAAUUUCUGGCCACUCAUCACGUUACUAUAAACUAAAAGCACCAACACCUGAACAGUUUGUACACCAUAAAGAUAGAAUUAUCAAUUAUGAAAUAUGAUUCCAUAUGAAAAGAAAAAGAAAAUUACAACCUAUGUGUGCUUGCUAGGAAUCCAACAUAAAUUGGUUUGGGCGUCCAUAGGUGUGCGCGCGUGCCCUUGCUUGGCUAAUUGGAACAAAUAAGUAAAAAGUACGACAGAACAAACAUUUACCUGUGGGAGUGGAAGAAUGAUGGCGAGAUCAAAUAGGAAGACGGGCAACAGAGAUAUGCUAUAAUUUCGAUGCCAAUUCUCCCAUAGUUGAAAAGCAUUAUUUAUCAAAAAAUAUAUAUCACAUCCUGUGCGUUCAACAAUACCCACCCUCAAAACCCAUAUGUCAAAUUGGAAGCACUUUUUGUCAUCGUUGAUCACGGGAAGGUACAAGAAAACAGGAUCAAAUACCAUGGAAUACACAUAAAUCAGCAAAAAAUUAACUUCCAGGAAACGUUUCGGCAGAUCACGAAUCUGCUGAAGGGAUGUUUUUUCUCCAUUACUCAAGCUUUCGAUCCGAGUGCGAUAAACAGAUUUUCCUGCUUCUCUCGCGCUCCUACUGAUGCUGUCCAUUUCAACACUAGCAACCCGUCUCGGCGUUCCUUCCUCUAAAUUCAAGUCCCGAGACUUCAUCGUCAUCACCAUAUACGAUAAUUGUAAUAAUACAUAGCUUGCACUUCAGCUCAGUAGGGCUCUAUACGUAUGUCAUUAAAUUAAUAGACAACUCGCUUAAGGCUUACAUAAUCAACGAAGGGGAAGGGAAAUUUAAGUAAAUGAAGCAAAGCUUGAUUUCAGUUUCCUUCAAUUAAAUACAGGUGGAUCCUUCACAAAUCAUCACUUCAGUGGCUGAGUCUUCGGAGUUCAGAGCAUGCUUAUCUUAUGUGCUAAUAAGUAUCUAGACACUGUGGUUCCUCAAGACUUUGACUUCAUGCACAAUUAAUCAAACAACCAAAAAAAAAAAAUUUCCAAUAAAUAUGUAAUUUCUGUAGCACCUUUUGAUUGAGUUGGGGCCGCAGGCAACUAAUAGUUACGACUUGAGGUUAGAACUUAUCCAUAUGCACAUUCUCAAUCUACGGUUCAUUAACCAAAAUUUUGGCCCCGAGAGGCUGCAAGCCUUAUCACGUCCCUCGUGUUUUUUGCUCACUAGUAGAAUUGAGUCUUUGUGCUUAUUGCUCAAGAUAAAUGUAAGCCUUACAAAUAUGAACUUGUUAAGAAUCCAAAUCCAAACUUGUGAACAAUGUCACGAUGCCCAUUACAAAUUUGAGCAAUGGUAGGAACAGUCGGGGCCUGCGUCCCCGGUCGCUUUAGAAAAUUUUUGAAGACCUCUGACCUUACUUCCUUUGAUUUUAUAAAAAUAUCCCAUUUGAGUUUUAAAAUUAUGAAAAGUUCAGUGCUUAUCUCUAGUUCAAAAAUUGAACUUACUUACUGCUAGUUCAAACACUGAAUUUUUGUGUAAAAAAUAAAUCAAUGGUCAUAUAUUGUUAUUUAAAUUCUUAUGAAAUUGUAUUAUACUAAUAAGGGUUUAAAAUGGAGAUAAAGAAAUCUCAUUUGUUAAAGACUAAUUCUCACCCUUUAUUAUUAUUUGAACUCAGAUGACUGCGGGUGCAAAACAUUUUUUCAGUCAGCUGAAUUUCAUUAAGAGAUGACAUUGUAUUAUAUGUUGAAUUUGAUCCAAUCGAAAAUUUUUUCUGGCUCGUCACUCUCAGACAUAACUUAGUUCACUAUAUGAGCAUAUUACGUGAUUGAAUUUCAUUGUCUUUUGUUGAUUCUCUGACCAUCUUAUGAUGUCUAGAUUGUAGUAUAUAAACCAGGUAAUAGAAGUCUAAAUACUUUGUAUAUAAAUUUUAAUGUCAUACUGUAAUUACUGUCUGCCAAUACUAUUGUAUUUUUCACUUUUACAGUCAGAAAAUUGUGCUGGGGCUUACUUAUGAUACGAGAAAUGUCUCAUUUUUAUCAAAAGAAAAUUACACUGCAAUAUACGUCCGUGGCAGGCAAACAAAGGACGGUUAAGGUAUCUUCAUCUGGAUUUGUAAUCUCGUUGAUGUAGAGUUUUACAUCAUUAAAGAUUCCGCCACGUGUCACACAUGAACGAAUCUGGCACGUGCCGACCACAAUCUCCCAUCUCAUUAUGUUCCUUCCAGUUUUCUCUCACUUUCUCGCGACAGAAAGUGUCGAACUCAAUAACAAAUAAAAAUUUCACAAACCCUUUUUCAAGUGCAUUGCAUAAACACUUUCUCACUCCCUGAAAAGUUGUUAAAGGUACAAUUUUUAACACCCUUUCUGGUUAAAAAAAAAAUGCAUUUCUGAUUCUACCAGGCACUUGAACAGGCUUCGGUUUCUUUGGUUUUGUAAAUUAAUGGUAAAACAAAUUAAAGAUUAAAGCUUUUAGGGGUUUGCUUGCUUCUUGCUGUUCAUUUUGGUUUCGCAAUUAUUAAAUUUUUAAUUACAGUUCUCGUACAUUCGUGCAUUGAUUUUUUUUUUUAUUAAGAUUCAUUCAAUAUCGUGUUUGUGUUAGGUGCUUGGUUCUUAUAUGUUGUUGGGUAUUGGUGAAUGAAUGAGAUGACAAUCUGUUCAUAAUUAUUAUUAGGCAAUGGUAAAAAGAAAAAAAAUUAAUUCUGUUAGUUUGGUUGGUGAGAGUAGUCGAAAAUAUUUAAUGAACUACGAAUACUUGCGAAUGGGUGAAUCACGUAAUCUUAAUUUUUGUGAAGCCGUGUAUUCGCAAAGGCAAGUGUGUGGGCGUUAGGGGUGGGCAAAUUCGGUUUGGAUCGGUUUGAAAUAUUUUCAAACCGAUAUCAACCUAAAAUUUUUUCAAACCGAACCGAUCCAAACUGAUUGGAUCAGUUUGGAUCGGUUUGGAUCCUCGGUUUGAGCUUAUUAGCUAAAAGCCCACUUCUUUUAUAUUAUUUUACCUAAAUUAUUUGUUUUUUUUUGUGUCCGUAAUCCAAAUUGAUACCUCUUUUAUAUUAUUCAUAUCUACUUUGAUAUCUACAUAACAAUUCAAAGAUACAUCCAUACAAGUUUGCAGCAUAAUACAUCCUAAUAAAGAUGUUCUUAACAUGUUCAUUCAAAACAAACUCACAAAAUUAAAAUAAACUUAAACAACAUUUGACAAUUAAAAUAUUGUGCAUCUUGUCCGUCAAAACUUAUGGCCCAAUUACUUUUGAUUUGUCAAAAUCUGCAUAAAAUGAUAAAUAUAAUUAGUUAGAUUGCUUAACUUAGAAUAUAAUGUAAUUAUAUAAUAUUUCUAGAUUGGAUCGGUUUGAAUCGGUUUGGAAUCCUUCCAAACCGAAAUCCAAACCGAGUGAUGUCGGUUUGCAAUCCAAUAAACUAAAAUCAGUUUUUUUACUAAUGAAACCGAUCCAAAUGAUCGGUUUGGAUCGGUUCGGUUAAAAUAUGCCCACUCCUAGUGGGCGUGGUUGAUAGGAAACUGAGAAGCACAAAUGCACAACAACUUCUUUCACAAUUUUUAAAUUUUGAAUUGAUUGCACUGCACGCAAGUUUCAAAUUUUGUUAGUUACAAUAAUAAAAUCGAUAUGACUACUACAUGUCUCCAUUUUACAACAGGAGUGCACGGCACCAAUCAAAAAUUAAAUUUUUUAUUAUUUAAUAAUAAAAAAAUUCUGGAUUAAUUUUAUUGCACACCCAAUGAACAAAACAAACAAAAACUAAAAAAAAUAAAGUAAAUAUCAUUGUCGGUGGCCAUCUUUAUCCAGUCAUCAAAGAAUUGGGUAAAAUUAUUGAGUGUUUUAAGUGUAUUAUUAUUCUGUGUGUUUUUUAAAUUAUUAAUUAUUUAUUGUGGUUAUAUAUUAAUUAUUCGUAAUAAUAUUUUAUAUACAUAUUAAAAUGAAUAGAUAAAAAAUAAUACUCUUCAAGUACCAAAGAAUUUUUCUCUCUUAUAAAUUGAAUCCAAUAAUUUAGUUAUAUUUAUCUCAUUAUCUGUAAUCUAUUAUUACAAAUAUUUAAACUUAAAACAUACAAAUCAAGAUAAUGUGAUUGUUAAAUUAAAACUCUUUCCAAAGUCAAUAAGUAAUCUUUCACAGCUUACAAGGCCUCAACUGAUGAGCAUUUAUUUAUGCAUUUUGGAUGGCCAUAGGAAUUAUAAAUCUUCCAGAGGCAUCAGAUUAAGGACGAAUUACAAUAAAUAAUAAGUAAAGCGAUUGUCACAAAAAAAAAUUUUAUUUCAAGAAUAAUUAGUGUUCAUAAAGAGUUAUGGAUGCAUUAGCGUUUAUUUAUUCAUUUCAUGUACUGAAUAAAAUGGGUGGCUAACUUAUAUUUAAAUUGUCAAAUGGUUCUGUUUCGGCAAUAUAAACUUGGUACUUAUGUUUUGGAAAAUUUUUAAGAUUAUAUAAAAUACUGUUGCUUGUUUAGGAAAAUAACUGUUUGAUGUUUUGGCAAUAUACCCAAGGUAAUGUUGCACUCCGUUCUAUUGAUAUCUGUAGUUCUAUUAAUCUUUUGAUAAUCAUUUUUUUGAAGUUUGACAGCUUCAGAAACGAUAUUAAUCUCAAUUGUUUUUAUCAUUAAGUUCAAACUUUGAAUUUUCUACUUAAUGAUGUUUUGAGAAGUGGGAAAUUUGUUGUUUAUGCUUUAGAUUGCAUAAGUCCAGACACAAGAUUUGGUUAUGGAAUUGAAUGUAUCCUGUGAAAUCUUUUUACGAUUGAGGGUUCUUUUCUUGGUUACAGUGGUGUCAUUGGGUUUCUGAUAUGCUCAACAGAGGGACCUCAUGUUGAUUUUGCGAACCCCAUUAAUCCUAUUGAGAAGUUGGAUGGAGCUGACAAGCAUAAAAGAGAAUUAAGGUUCUAUACCUCAGAGGUAAAGGCUCCUCAUUUCAAGUCUAGCUUUCCUUGGUCGUUGCUUCUUGAUUCUUUUUCUUAGAUAACCUAAAUGCUUGUGUGGUUGAAUUGUCAUUGAGUUAAUAUUUUGGUAGUGUUACUGUGUUAGAUGAGAAAGUAUGAUGGCCUGCAUUUAAUAUUUGUGUUGUGUUGACAGAUUCAAUUAUAUAGUUGCCUCCGCGUUGCCUGCAUUUUUGAAGAGGGAGGUGAGCGUACUUAGUGAUUCUCCAACUCCAAGUCAACGAAUCUGCGCGUCCUAAUGAUUCAUAGCAAUCAUCCCAUUUAUUUAUGAUUAGCGAGAUUUAGUGCUUCCCAUGUUAUAGUUUAUAGGAUGAUUAUGAUAUAUGUAGACGAGGGGUUACGCCUUGAGCUUGACCUUGGAGACUUUGUUGAUGAUCUGAUUAUAGCAAUGUAUCAUGGUUCUUGUUAAGUAAAUAAGAGCAUCAGCUCUGCCAUAUCAUCAUCCCCACCCCGGGGUGGGUCACCUCAGCCAAAUGGUACGAGCAGAGCACUGAUAAUGAGCCUUAUACAAGCAUGGACCGACCAAAGAUGAGUACCGGCCAGGGGGAUACACCGACCAGAGACAUAUACCGAGCAGAUACUCAUUCCCCAAAGAGCGGGAACACGAUCUCACAAGAUCUCGACAGUUGCGCUUUUCCCAGAACUGUUGAGGGAGACACGAUGUCCCAUGUUUGCCCACAAUGUAGCAGUUGGAGUCCCAUGAGGGGCUGCCAUGACCCGAGAAAGGGGGGAUGAAGGGUGAUCAGAAACGUGGGACAGCGGCUAUAAAAGAGGAAGAAACCAAUGAAAAAGAGAUAAGAAAACUGAGAGAGAGGGAAAACUCUGCCAAAAUGAAACUAGACUGUUUUUCUGCCUAAAUUGAGAGCGAAUCGUAAGCCAUUCUGAAAUCUAAAUUGAACCGUUUUCCCGUAAACACCUUGUGCUAACUUAGGCAUCGGAGGGUUUACGCCGGUAAAACCACCGGCGUCUCUGAUCCAUUUCUUUGUGAAUGCAGGAUUAGCGAGAUAAAAAGGGGUGAUUUCAACCUAGUGACGUAAGCGGUCGUUAAGGCAAGGAGAGAGUGACAUCGUCCCAUCAAACAUAUAAACGUUGGUGGAAAAUCUGGUCGGGUAAAGGGCGAGCAGAUUUCAACAUCAACAGUUCUCAUUUGACAAUUAAUACUUAUUUUAUUAUAUUAAUAGCUUACUUUUAAACUUCAUGAAAAUUAUAUGAUUAUCGUUCAAUUUAGAUUUUCUUUUAUUAUAAAAGUUUUGCCAGUGGCCAUCUUAGCGAUGGAUUGAUUAAUAAAAUUUUCCCAUUAUAGGAUGGAAUAAAUAUUAAAAUCAGGAACACACUAAUUUAAUAUCAUUCGAUGUAUCUCUACUAGUUAUAAUUUCUAUUAUCUUCAUCAUCCAAGUCACCUAAGAAUUUUCCCAUCUUUACUGAGUGCUGACAGUGCCACAAGCAAGCCAAGAUAUUAGUUUGUUAAGUUCUCUUGUGAGUCAACUCUGCGCGCGUGUGUUAGAGCUUGGUAAUUCCAUUACGGACUGAAGUUUAGCAGUUAAAUGCUUACUCCCUUGGUGUACGCAUAAUUUCUGAAUGAUACAUUUUGCUGGAAAAGAGACGGUCCAUACUGCCAUCCGAACUAGAAAUUAGGACAUAGAAAAUAUAUAUAAUCAAACACUAUAACGGAGUAAUGCUAACUUCAUAUAUAUACACAUCAACUGUAUCAGGCUUCGGUUUCGAAUAUCUCAAACUCAUAUACUUCCGUCCAAAUUUAUUCUUGGGAUAGGUCCUUAAUUAAGAUCAUGAACACGCCCUAAAAUACUAACGAUGCCGCAUCUGAUCUGAAUGCUCAAACUAUUAUUUUAGUAGCCGACGCUUGCGCACUCCAUCUAGUUUGUCAGAAUACUUGCAUACGGUAGCUGCAUUGUUUUGCUUAAUUAUCAAUAUUCAAUAGUACCUGCUUUAAAUCAUAUGCCAUAAGAACAAAUGCUUCAACUUUUGUAAGCGCUUGGAUUGUUUUAGUUGAUAUAGGGAGGUUGGAUGAGUUGUGGCCAGCCUUCGCCCAAGCAAUGAGUUCUUCUCCAGAAAAGUCACCACCUUCCAGAUGGUUGUUCAGGUUACCAGAAUUGCUUGAUAAUUCAGUUACCCUCCUGGAAGUGUAGGUCCAUAACUUGCCUUGUAGCACGAAGAGCAUUUGAUCAAUUGGGUUUUCCUCCUGGAUAAUGUAAGAGCGCUCUGUGAAGACAGCUGGCUUCACAACAUCACACAGUUUCUCCAACGAUGAACCAUCCAAGUUUCCAAACUCUUCUACCUAUACAAACAUACAUCCAAUAUUGUUACUGUAAUCUAAAAGGCUCAAUGCUGAUAAUGAAAUUCAGCUUCUGAAUGCAGAAAAUUGAAAAUAAAAGUUGAUCUAGAACUAUCUCAGCUAAAAUGAGAUUCAUUCCCCAACGCUAAAAACAUAUCAGGGUUGAGUUUAUGUUGAGGUGAUGUGGACUUUAGCUAUUGCGCUUUCAAAACCAUGCAAAAGUUCAAAUAGUUACAAACAUUUACCCUUGAGUUUAUUCGAUCGAGUUAAAGAAGAGGAAAAUAUUUUCAUUAGUUUUUCGGAUUGUUGUUUAUAUGCUGCUAGCCUCUCCUUUGUCAGUUCCACAAAUUCAGAAGUAGGAGGCACAAAUAUAGUUGUAAAGAUCUCUUACUCACUUUUUUUAGCAGGUCUAAGCAGAGUUUUUGUUUUAUGUUCUUCCUGAGGUCCUCUGGAAGAUUGUUCACCAGAUAUUCUACAUCAAUACCUGUGGUUUCUUGCACUUUGGAUAACUGAUGUUCCUUGAUCUCCAUUUGGAGUUUCUCAGGGAGCUUUUCAACGGGCCGCCACUUGUAUAUUUCUUGUACCUUCUGUCUUAUCUCCUCUGCUUUUGACAUUUCAGACUGCAAAUUGCGCAAGAAUCAUAGUUCAUAGAAAAUUAAAAUUUAUUGUGCUUCAUCUCAAUCAACCAUAAAGAACCCAUUUUAAGAGACAAGAAUCAGACGAGAAAAUAAAAUAAAAUAAAAUAAAAUAAAGAUACACCAACCUGGACCUUUCCAAUCAAGAAGAAAAACAGCACUACCCCAGUGAUGGUAAUUGAAAUCACAAAGAUGUUUUCCAAGACAUUGGUACUGAAUGGGAGACCUUGACCAAAAGAACUGCAAAGUCAAACCCACAAAUUUAUUAGAACUAAUGUUUUUGAGUUUAAUUGCUAAAAAAACAUAAAAAUACGUAUGCGUAAUUAUAUGCACCAAAAACAUAGAAAGGCAUAUGCACAAAGAUUGUUACAAGGAGAAUGAUGUAUAUCCACAACUUAACCUGAGAUUUUGCAGGCUCCAUCGAAUACAAGGGAAGAACCUCAGAAAUAAAUUGUUUUGCUCAAUAACACUAGAAUUAAUAGCAUCAUAGAAUAUCCCAAAAUGGUAGGUAGUUGCAAUUUGAGUCUUUGUAGAGCAAAAAUCAUUAGAAAAUGUGUAGUUUGUUAAACUGUUGUCACAGUGUAAGGGAAGGAGACGGCAUUUGGCAGAAUCUGUGCAGGCUUUCCUCCAACAUUCGGUCUUUCUUUGUAGAGCAAAAAAGUACCAUAAUGCUCCAAACCCCUAAACAACCAUCAAUUAGAUCAUCAGGAAUUAUAAAUUACCCAAAAAGAGUAAAGAGAAAUAGAAUAUAUUGGAGACUUGGGAGGCAAGUAAACUUACAUUAGCAGCAUGUAGGUAAAAGAGAUUGAACGUGAGCCUGGCCCAUUUAGUUUGUUUAUAUGAAUUCUUCCUUUCUUUAAUCAAUGCAUACAAUCGGAUAACCUUUAGCAAAUGUUGGACAAUAAACAGGUUCAUCACAGAGAAAAAUUUCUUGCCACUCAUCACGUUACUAUAAACUAGAAGCACCAACACCUGAACAGUUUGUACACCAUAAAGAUAGAAUUAUCAAUUAUGAAAUAUGAUUCCAUAUGAAAAGAAAAAAAUUACAACCUGUGUGCUUGCUAGAAAUCCAACAUAAAUUGGUUUGGGCGUCCAUAGGUGUGCGCGCGUGCCCUUGCUUGGCUAAUUGGAACAAAUAAGUAAAAAGUACGACAGAACAAACAUUUACCUGUGGGAGUGGAAGAAUGAUGGCGAGAUCAAAUAGGAAGACGGGCAACAGAGAUAUGCUAUAAUUUCGAUGCCAAUUCUCCCAUAGUUGAAAAGCAUUAUUUAUCAAAAAAUAUAUAUCACAUCCUGUGCGUUCAACAAUACCCACCCUCAAAACCCAUAUGUCAAAUUGGAAGCACUUUUUGUCAUCGUUGAUCACGGGAAGGUACAAGAAAACAGGAUCAAAUACCAUGGAAUACACAUAAAUCAGCAAAAAAUUAACUUCCAGGAAACGUAUCGGCAGAUCACGAAUCUGCUGAAGGCAUGUUUUUCCUCCAUUACCCAAGCUUUCGUUCAGAGUGCGAUAAACAGAUUUUGCUGCUUCUCUCGCGCUCCAACUGAUGCAGUCCAUUUCAACACUAGCAACUCGUCUCGGCGUUCCUUCCUCUAAAUUCAAGUCCCGAGACCUGAAAAAAUAAAGUCAACUUCAUCGUCAUCACCAUAUACGAUAAUUGUAAUAAUACAUAGCUUGCACUUCAGCUCAGUAGGGUUCUAUACGUAUGUCAUUAAAUUAAUAGACAACUCGCUUAAGGCUUACAUAAUCAACGAAGGGGAAGGGAAAUUUAAGUAAAUGAAGCAAAGCUUGAUUUCAGUUUCCUUCAAUUAAAUACAGGUGGAUCCUUCACAAAUCAUCACUUCAGUGGCUGAGUCUUCGGAGUUCAGAGCAUGCUUAUCUUAUGUGCUAAUAAGUAUCUAGACACUGUGGUUCCUCAAGACUUUGACUUCAUGCACAAUUAAUCAAACAACCAAAAAAAAAAAAUUUCCAAUAAAUAUGUAAUUUCUGUAGCACCUUUUGAUUGAGUUGGGGCCGCAGGCAACUAAUAGUUACGACUUGAGGUUAGAACUUAUCCAUAUGCAUAGUCUCAAUCUACGGUUCAUUAACCAAACUUUUGGCCCCGAGAGGCUGCAAGUCUUAUCAUGUCCCUCGUGUUUUUUGCUCACUAGUAGAAUUGGAUCUUUGUGCUUAUUGCUCAAGAUAAAUGUAAGCCUUAACCUGAGAGCUUGCAGGCUCCAUUGAAAACAAGGCAAGUACCUCCGAAAAAAAUAGUUUUGAUCCAAAACACCCGAUUGAAUAGCAUCACGGAAUAUCCCAAAAUCAUAGAUAGUUGCAUUUUGGGUCUUUGUAGAGCAAAAAUCACUAAAAAAUGUGUAGUUUGUUAAACUGUCAUCGCAGUGCAAAGGAAGGAAAUCACAUCUGGUAAAAUCUGUGCAGGCUUUCUUCCAACAUUCAGCCUUUCUUUGUACAGCGAAAAAGUACCAUAAUGAUCCAAACACCUAAAGAACCGUCAAGUAGAUCACCAGGAACUAUAAAUUACCCAAAAAACAGUAAAGAGAAAUAGAACAUUUUGGAGACUUAAGAGGCAAGUAAACUUACGUUAGCAGCCUGUAGGUAACCGAAAUUGAACGUCAGAUUGGCCCAUUUAUUAAGGUUAUAUGAAUUCUUCCAUUCUGUAAUCAAUUUAGCCAAUCGGAUAACCUUUAACCCAUGUUGUACAAGAAACAGGUUCAUCAGAGAGAAAAAUUCCUGGCCACUAAUUCUUUGACUAUAAGCUAGAAGCACCAACACCUGAAUAGUUUGUAAAUAUUAAAAAAAAAAGAAAAUUAAUCGUACAAAAUACAACCUAUACAUGCUUGUGUCAAGGAAGCUCAUUAUGCAUGGAAGGAUGCAGCACACGUGUGAGAUGAAUACAGUCAGCUGAAUCAAUUGAAGAGUGAAGUGCCAGCUCAGCUGAAGUAAGUUAGACACGUUAAGAUCAUAUUCAGUUAGCUUCUUUAUUUUCUGUUAAGCUGUAAACAACUGAGUAUAAAUACAAGCAUCUUGUAAUCAUUUUGUUAUUAAGUAAAAUGAAAUAAAGCAUUUGAUUCAGAAGUCUUUUACAAAUUUUCUUAGCACUUUAAAUACAUUUUCUCAGUAACCAAACAGUCUAUUCAUUCAAGCUUUUAAGCUUUCAAACAUGGUAUCAGAGCCAUACAGAGCUAGUUCUAGUAAUCAACAGUCAAGCUUUCGUAAUCAAACAACAAACAACACAAAUCAAUCUACUCAAAUCAACUUCUCCUUUACUAAUCCUAUCAAGCUAGAUCGAUCAAAUUACUUACUCUGGCGCUCUCAAGUUUUAGCUUCAAUAAGAGGCAAUCGUUUGGAAGAUUUCGUCACAGGAGCCAAAUCAGUACCUGAUAAGUGUCUUCUGUUAACUGAAGCAGAUGGAUCUACACAACAAAUUGAAAAUCCAGAAUAUCAGAUCUGGAGAUCACAGGAUCAGACACUUCUUGGCUGGCUACUGUCGUCAUUAAGUGAAGGUAUCUUAAGUCUUGUAAUCAAUUGUGAGAGUUCAUUUGAUAUAUGGAAAACUUUGGAAAAGAAAUUUGGAGUUCAAUCUGAAGCUCGAGUUCUUCAGCUCAGAUAUGAACUAAACAUUCUUAAAAAGGAAGCUCUUAGUGUUGAAGAUUAUUGUAUUAAAAUAAAAGCAAUAGCUGAUAAGCUAGCCAAUGCUGGUAGUUCAAUUACAGAGAAGGAUCUUAUGUUAACUAUUCUUAAUGGAUUAGGACCAGGAGUUCGUGAUAUUGCUACAUUUAUAAAUGGUUCACGAAUGGAAUUUGAUGAUGCUUAUGCACUGUUACUCACUCAUGAGACUAGAUUAGAGCAGGAGCAAGGUGACAGAAGUAUGUUUAAUGCAAACUAUGCAUAUACGAAUGCAUAUUAUCCUAGAGCUUAUUUUGCACAACGUAGAGGAAGUUUUAAACGAGGAGGUUAUUCUGGUGGUAGAACUCCUUUCUUUGGCAGAGCAAAUAUGAAUUACUCUCCAAGAAUAUUUAAUGGAGGUGUUAGAAAUGGAUAUGGCAGAGGAUUUUUUCCUAGAAAUAACUCAGCUGAUUUCAAUCAUUUUUCAGCUCCUAGGAAUCCAGUACCUAAGAACUCAUCCUUUCUAGCUAGAAAUGGUGCUAAUAUGAGUGGAUCACAAGGAAGCUUUAAUAAUGCUGGGGAGCUGGUAUGUCAGAUUUGCUUUAAGAAUGGUCAUACUGCUGAUGUUUGUUGGCACAUAUUUAUUGAAGACUUUGUACCUGUUCCAAGAGGUUUUGGCAGGGAAAAAACACCAAGAGCAGCAUAUUUCUCAAACUUUGAUGGCUCUACUUCUAAUCCAGAUUUUGGCUAUGAAAAUAAUAAUAUGUUUCCAGGUUAUGAUUCUAUAUCUGGCAAUAGUUACUAUUCUGGAAUGGAUGGAUAUACUUCUGGAGCAGCUGGAACAGCUUUCAUGGCUAAUUUUGAAGGGACUGCUGAUGAUGGAUGGUAUCUGGAUAGUGGGGCAACUCACCAUUUAACCAACAAUAUGGAGAAUUUGCAUAUCAAUGAAGAGUUUAAAGGUACUGAUCAGCUUAUCAUUCGAAAUGGUCAAGGUUUGUCUAUUACUCAUGUUGGACAUGCAUUUCUGGUAUUAAGAGCUUCUAAAUCUUUAUCUACACAUGCUAGAAUAACACUUAAAGAUGUGUUACUUGCUCCUUCAAUUGCCAAAAAUCUAUUAAGUAUUUCCAAACUCACAUCUGAUAAUCCUGUAUCUGUUGAAUUUUGUGGAAAUGUUUGUUUUGUGAAGGACAUAAAGGGUCAAGUUCUUCUGCAGGGUAUUGCUGAAAAAGGCCUUUACAAGCUGCUGCUGAAAUCUAAUUCUCUUUCUUCAUCACCUACAUCUUAUCUUUGUAAAUCCCAACCAAAUAAACCAGUUUCUAUGUUAUCUGCUUUCAAACACUGUGAUAAUAGUACUCGAGCUUAAGAGGAUAGAUCCAAGAGUACCUAGUAUAAUCAUCCACAAAACUAAUAUAGUAUUUGUAUCCAUCUCUAGACACAGUGGGUGAAGGCCCCCAAAGAUCAGUAUGAAUCAAUUCUAAUACCCCUUUUGUUUUUGUUUCAGUUAUUGAGAAAUGUUGCUUAUGGACUUUGCCUAGCUGACAUGCUUCACAUAAAGUAUUUGCAGAAGAUAACAUGUCUUUUGGAGAGACUUUAAACUGUUUACAUGAUUUGAGCAAAUGCACCAAUGUCAUUGAGCUUGGAUGACCAAACUUUCUAUGUAACAAAGUUAUCAUAUCAGGUUUGACAUUACACUUAUUUAAAACAAACUGAUAGCAAGCUCGAGUACUAUUAUCACAGUGUUUGAAAGCAGAUAACAUAGAAACUGUUAAAUCACAAGCAUUUGAAGUUUUUAAAUUGUUCAAAACUCAAGUUGAGAAUCAGUUUGAUACCAAAAUUAAGAGGCUACAAUCUGACCUUGGGGGAGAGUUUAGAGCAUUUAUUGAUUUUCUGAAUCAAAAUGGAAUAAUGUUUAGACACUCAUGUCCUUACACUCAUCACCAGAAUGGUCUUGUUGAGAGGAAACACAUGCAUAUAGUUGAGCUAGGCUUAACCCUCAUGGCUCAAGCAAACCUUCCUUUUCAAUUCUGGUGGGAAGCUGUUCAUACAGCAGUGUAUCAUAUUAAUAGAUUGCCUACCCCUGUUCUGAAAUUCUUAUCUCCUUAAGAGAAACUUUUCAAACACAAACCAGAUUACACAUUCCUGAAGUGUUUUGGUUGUCUUUGCUACCCAUACUUGAGAGAUUUUAACAAACAUAAGUUUGAUUUUCACACCUCUAAAUGCAUUUUUAUUGGAUACAAUCCCUCUUAUAAAGGAUACAAGUGCUUAGCAAGUUCUGGCAAAGUCUAUGUUCUUAGACAUGUCAUUUUUGAUGAAAACACAUUCCCUUAUCCAAUAAACACUACAUCUCACUCAUCAGAAAACCCCAUAUCUUCUGAAACCUCAGUGUCUAAUUUCUCUCAACAACAUAUCUAUCAUCUUUCUACAAUGGCCUUACCCAACAGCAGCUUUGAAGGUCUUCAAUCAGCAGGCUCAGCAAGAAGUGAACAAAUGCCCUCUGUUCCCACACAUACAGAUAUUCUGAAUCAACAAGAACAUCCAUCACACACAUCUUUAGAGUUAUCAUCCUCAACCUCACUAUCACCAAACACAUUACCAGUACAAUCAUCCAUUCUACAAUCAGAGGAAACUUCUAUUCCACAGAACAUAGACCAAAUUCAAACCAGAAAUCAUUCCCAACCAUCUUCUCAUCCAAUGAUUACCAGAUCAAAAUCUGGAAUCUUCAAACCAAAGGUCUAUACAGUCACCUUAGCCAACAAAGAACCUAGUACAGUUCAAGAAGCUCUUAGUAGUCAGAAUUGGCAUCAAGCCAUGGUAGAUGAGUAUGCAGCUUUGAUAAAGAAUGAGACUUGGUCACUAGUACCAUUUUCAAAUGCAUACAAAGUAGUUGACAACAAAUGGGUGUUUAGACUUAAGCAAAAUACUGAUGGAAGCAUAGCCAAACACAAGGCCAGGUUGGUUGCCAAAGGUUUUCAGCAAACUGAAGGUGUGGAUUACUUUGAGACCUUUAGCCCAGUUGUAAAAGCUUCAACGGUAAGGAUUGUUCUGAGUUUAGCUGUGAUGCAUAAAUGGAAAAUAAGGCAAGUGGAUGUGAAUAAUGCCUUCUUGAAUGGAAACUUGACAGAGGAUGUCUAUAUGUAUUAGCCUGAAGGUUUUAUUGAUCAACAAAAACCCAAUCAUAUAUGUAAGCUUAAUCAAGCCUCGUAUGACUUGAAGCAAGCUCCUAGAGCUUGGUAUGACAAGCUUAAGAAUUGUCUUAUUGCUAAUUGGAAAUUUCAGAAUUCAAAGGCUGAUACCUCUCUCUUCUUCAAAGAAGUGCAGGGUUCAAUGAUACUUAUCUUAAUCUAUGUUGAUGACAUUCUAAUAACAAGACCUGAUAAUGGUGAGCUGGAAAAAUUCAUCUAAGAAUUCAGUAAGACUUUUGCCUUAAAAGACUUGGGAAUUCUGUCAUAUUAACAUAGACAAAAUUCAAACUAGAAAUCAUUCCCAACCAUCUUCUCAUCCAAUGAUUACCAGAUCAAAAUCUGGAAUCUUCAAACCAAAGGUCUAUACAGUCACCUUAGCCAACAAAGAACCUAGUACAGUUCAAGAAGCUCUUAGUAGUCAGAAUUGGCAUCAAGCCAUGGUAGAUGAGUAUGNNNNNNNNNNNNNNNNNNNNNNNNNNNNNNNNNNNNNNNNNNNNNNNNNNNNNNNNNNNNNNNNNNNNNNNNNNNNNNNNNNNNNNNNNNNNNNNNNNNNNNNNNNNNNNNNNNNNNNNNNNNNNNNNNNNNNNNNNNNNNNNNNNNNNNNNNNNNNNNNNNNNNNNNNNNNNNNNNNNNNNNNNNNNNNNNNNNNNNNNNNNNNNNNNNNNNNNNNNNNNNNNNNNNNNNNNNNNNNNNNNNNNNNNNNNNNNNNNNNNNNNNNNNNNNNNNNNNNNNNNNNNNNNNNNNNNNNNNNNNNNNNNNNNNNNNNNNNNNNNNNNNNNNNNNNNNNNNNNNNNNNNNNNNNNNNNNNNNNNNNNNNNNNNNNNNNNNNNNNNNNNNNNNNNNNNNNNNNNNNNNNNNNNNNNNNNNNNNNNNNNNNNNNNNNNNNNNNNNNNNNNNNNNNNNNNNNNNNNNNNNNNNNNNNNNNNNNNNNNNNNNNNNNNNNNNNNNNNNNNNNNNNNNNNNNNNNNNNNNNNNNNNNNNNNNNNNNNNNNNNNNNNNNNNNNNNNNNNNNNNNNNNNNNNNNNNNNNNNNNNNNNNNNNNNNNNNNNNNNNNNNNNNNNNNNNNNNNNNNNNNNNNNNNNNNNNNNNNNNNNNNNNNNNNNNNNNNNNNNNNNNNNNNNNNNNNNNNNNNNNNNNNNNNNNNNNNNNNNNNNNNNNNNNNNNNNNNNNNNNNNNNNNNNNNNNNNNNNNNNNNNNNNNNNNNNNNNNNNNNNNNNGAAAAACAACACUACCCCAGUGAUGGUAAUUGAAAUUACAAAGAUGUUUUCCAAGACAUUGGUACUUAACGGGAGACCUUGACCAAAACAACUGCAAAAGUCAAACCCACAAAUGUGUUAGAACCAAUGUUUUGAGCUUAAUUGAUAAAAAACACAAACAUACGUAUGCUUUAAUAUAUGCACAAAAAACAAAGAAAGGCGUACACAAAAAGAUUGUUAAGAGAAGAAUGAUGUAUAUUCACAACUUAACCUGAGAGUUUGCAGGCUCCAUUGAAAACAAGGCAAGUACCUCCGAAAAAAAUUGUUUUGAUCCAAAACACCAGAUUGAAUAGCAUCACGGAAUAUCCCAAAAUCAUAGAUAGUUGCAUUUUGAGUCUUUGUAGAGCAAAAAUCACUAGAAAAUGUGUAGUUUGUUAAACUGUCAUCACAGUGUAAAGGAAGGAGGCCACAUCUGGUAAAAUCUGUGCAGGCUUUCUUCCAACAUUCAGCCUUUCUUUGUACGGCGAAAAAGUACCAUAAUGAUCCAAACACCUAAAGAACCAUCAAGUAGAUCCCGGGAACUAUAAAUUACCCAAAAAAACAGUAAAGAGAAAUAGAACAUUUUGGAGACUUAAGAGGCAAGUAAACUUACGUUAGCAGCCUGUAGGUAACCGAAAUUGAACGUCAGAUUGGCCCAUUUAUUAAGGUUAUAUGAAUUCUUCCAUUCUGUAAUCAAUUUAGCCAAUCGGAUAACCUUUAACCCAUGUUGUACAAGAAACAGGUUCAUCAGAGAGAAAAAUUCCUGGCCACUAAUUCUUUGACUAUAAGCUAGAAGCACCAACACCUGAAUAGUUUGUAGAUAUUAAAAAAAAUAUAUAUAUUAACCGUACAAAAUACAACCUAUACAUGCUUGCUAGGAAUCCAACAUAAAUUACUUUGGGCGGUCAGAGGUGUGCGUGUGUGCCCCUCCUUCGCAAGUUGGAACAAAUAAAUUAAAAGUAGACAGAAC
rnacentral:lncRNA from 1 species